UGAGCAACCUGCCCCUGACUCUGGGAUGACCCCGGGAAACCGGAGCUAAUACCGGAUACGACACGCGAAGGCAUCUUCUGCGUGUAGAAAGAUUUAUCGGUCAGGGAUGGGCUCGCGGCCUAUCAGCUAGUUGGUGGGGUAAUGGCUCACCAAGGCGACGACGGGUAGCUGGUCUGAGAGGAUGGCCAGCCACAUUGGGACUGAGACACGGCCCAGACUCCGUAGGAGG
rnacentral:rRNA from 1 species